rnacentral:rRNA from 1 species
UUCUUACUCUUUAUUGGAGAGUUUGAUCCUGGCUCAGGACGAACGCUGGCGGCGUGCCUAAUACAUGCAAGUCGAGCGGAGAAUUAAAAGCUUGCUUUUAAUUCUUAGCGGCG